rnacentral:rRNA from 1 species
GCCGACCUGAGAGGGUGAUCGGCCACAUUGGAACUGAGACACGGUCCAAACGCCUACGGGAGGCAGCAGUGGGGAAUUUUGGACAAUGGGGGCAACCCUGAUCCAGCCAUGCCGCGUGCAGGAUGAAGGCCUUCGGGUUGUAAACUGCUUUUGUCAGGGACGAAAAGGACCGUGUUAAUACCAUGGUCUGCUGACGGUACCUGAAGAAUAAGCACCGGCUAACUACGUGCCAGCAGCCGCGGUAAUACGUAGGGUGCAAGCGUUAAUCGGAAUUACUGGGCGUAAAGCGUGCGCAGGCGGUUCUGUAAGACAGAUGUGAAAUCCCCGGGCUUAACCUGGGAAUUGCAUUUGUGACUGCAGGACUAGAGUUCAUCAGAGGGGGGUGGAAUUCCAAGUGUAGCAGUGAAAUGCGUAGAUAUUUGGAAGAACACCAAUGGCGAAGGCAGCCCCCUGGGAUGCGACUGACGCUCAUGCACGAAAGCGUGGGGAGCAAACAGGAUUAGAUACCCUGGUAGUC